CAAUCUUCAAAAGCAUCACCUCCACAAAAUUUCCAAAAUGCUCAGCCUUAUGCACCAUAUGUUCCACCACCAUGGAAAAAUCUGGAAGACACAAUGCAUUCAUUCAUCAGAAAGCAAGAUGUUAUUAACAAUCAAAAUGCACAAACUUUUUCUGAUUUGAAAGAUACUCUUACUAAAGUUGCUUCUGCACUCACAAUUCAAGAAAAAGGAAAAUUUCCAGCCCAACCACAACCAAAUCCUAAGAUUCAACAAAAUCCACCCGCAGACCAAGUCAAGUCAGUUAUAACUCUUCGUAGUGGUAAGGUUGUUGAUAGACCUAUGCCUGAACCUUGUGAAAAUGAUGAAAAUUCAAAGGGUAAGGAAGGACUAAAUGAACUUACACCUAGUGAAGAAAUAACUAGUGUUCCACCUUAACCACCAUUUCCGCAUGCAUUGAAUAAACCAAGGAAAUCAAACCACUCUUCUGAAAUUUAUGAAAUCUUUAAGCAAGUGAAAGUUAACAUUCCUCUAUUAGAUGCAAUCAAGCAGGUACCUUCAUAUGCCAAAUUUUUAAAAGACUUGUGCAUUGUUAAAGAGGAAAUUGAAGGUCAGAAAUAGUGCUUUCAUGGCCGAACAGGUAAGUACAAUUAUGUCUACUAAUAAUAAGUUAAAAUAUAAAGAUCCUGGUUGUCCUACCAUUUCUUGUAUUAUUGGUAAUCACAUAAUUGAGCAUGCUUUACUAGAUCUUAGUGCUAGUGUUAAUUUGCUUCCAUAUUCAGUUUAUCUUUAACUUAAUCUUGAUGAGUUAAAAUCAACUUCAACUACACUUUUGCUUGCCGAUAGAUCAGUUAAAGUACCAAAAGGAAUAGUGGAAGAUGUUUUAGUACAAGUUGAUAAAUUCAUAUACCAUGUGGAUUUUAUUGUCUUGGAAACUGAACCUGUUGUGAAUAAUUACAAACCAAUUCCUAUAAUUUUAGGUCGACCAUUUUUAGCAACUGCUAAUGCUUUGAUUAAUUGUAGGAAUGGUUUAAUGAAUUUAUCUUUUGGGAAUAUGACUUUGGAAUUGAAUGUUUUCAACAUGUACAGGCAACCUAAUGAAGAAAAUGAGAAUGAAGAUGAUACUGAUGAUAAAAAGAAUUGCUUGAAUCUUGUAUUGAGGAAAAUAUUCAAAAAGGGGAAUUUUCUGAACUCUUUGAUGUUUGUUUAGUUAAUUCAAUUGAGUCAAAUAAGCAACUUGAACUUAAUAUUUCUAAUAUAAAUUCGUUGCUUGAUUCUGUGCAGACUUCACAAAAUUAUGAUGACGAGCCAAAAUUUGAGGAGCUUGGAAGUAUUGAAAAGACAGAACAACAAGAAGCACUUAAACUGGAAUUGAAACAUUUGCCUGAAGGAUUGAAGUAUGCUUUUCUUGGAGAAGAACAAACUUAUCCUGUUGUGAUUUCUUCUACUUUAACAAGCGACCAAGAAGGUAAGUUACUAACUGUUCUUAAAAAGCAUAAAAAUGCAAUUGGAUGGACUUUAAAUGAUAUUAAAGGCAUUAAUCCCUUAAUAUGCACACAUAGAAUUAAUUUGGAAGAAAAUGCUAAAACAUGUCAACAACCUCAAAGAAGAUUAAACCCACACAUGAGAAGUCCUUAAAUUUCUUAAUGUGGGAAUUAUCUACCCUAUUUCUGAUAGUAAGUGGGUAAGUUCUACACAAGUAGUGCCUAAAAAAUCUGGAAUCACUGUUGUUAAAAAUGAAAAAGGUGAAUUAAUUCCAACACAAAUUACAUCUAGUUGGCGCAUGUGCAUUGAUUAUAGAAAGUUAAAUGAAGCCACUAGAAAAGAUCAUUUUCCAUUACCAUUCCUUGACCAAAUCGUAGAAAGAGUAGCAGGACAUCCCUACUACUGUUUUUUAGAUGGAUAUUCAAGUUAUUAUCAAAUUCCUAUAGCACUUGAGGACCAAGAAAAUACCUCAUUUACAUGUCCUUUUGGGACAUUUGCAUUUAAAAGAAUGUCAUUUGGGCUUUGUAAUGCUCCUGCAACAUUUCAAAGAUGUAUGUUAAGCAUUUUUUGUGAUAUGGUUGAACAUUGUUUAGAGGUCUUUAUGGAUGAUUUAACUGUGUUUGGGAAUUCUUUUGAUGAUUGCCUUGAUAAUUUGGAGAAAGUUUUGAGAAGAUGUGUUGAAAAAGAACUCGUGUUGAAUUAGGAAAAAUGUCACUACAUGGUUACUUCUGGAAUUGUUUUGGAUCAUGUUGUUUCUGUUAAAGGAAUUGAAGUUGAUAAAGCAAAAAUUUAAUGUCAUUUGGGCUUUGUAAUGCUCAUGCAACAUUUCAAAGAUGUAUGCUAAGCAUUUUUUGUGAUAUGGUUGAACAUUGUUUAGAGGUCUUUAUGGAAGAUUUAACUGUGUUUGGGAAUUCUUUUGAUGAUUGCCUUGAUAAUUUGGAGAAAGUUUUGAGAAGAUGUGUUGAAAAAGAACUCGUGUUGAAUUAGGAAAAAUGUCACUACAUGGUUACUUCUGGAAUUGUUUUGGAUCAUGUUGUUUCUGUUAAAGGAAUUGAAGUUGAUAAAGCAAAAAUUGAAUCAUAUCUAAAUUGCCACAACCAAAAACAGUUAGAGAUGUGCGAUCUUUUUUAGGACAUGCAGGAUUUCAUAGGAGGUUUAUAAAAAACUUUAGUGUUAUAUCUAAACCACUUUGUAACCUCUUAUUAAAAGAUGCACCGUUUGACUAGAAUGAUGAUUGCCAAAAAUCUUUUGAGAAAAUAAUUUGUCUUUUAACAUCUGCACCUAUUAUGCAAUCUCUUGAUUGGUUUUUGCCCUUUGAAUUAAUGUGUGAUGCAAGUGAUUUUACUGUUGGUGUUGUUUUAGGAUAAAAAAGGGAUGGUAAGCCUUUUGUGAUUUAUUAUGCGAGUAAGACUUUGGAUAGUGCUCAAAUGAAUUAUUCUACAACUGAAAAAGAAUUACUUGCUGUGGUAUUUUCAUUAAACAAAUUCCGUUCAUAUUUGCUUGGCUUUAAAUCUGUUGUGUUUAUUGACCACGCUGUUAUGAGAUAUUUGAUGAGUAAACAGGAUGCCAAACCGAGACUAAUUCGUUGGAUUUUGUCUUUGAAUUAAUGCGUGAUGCAAGUGAUUUUGAUGUUGGUGUUGUUUUAGGACAAAGAAAUGAUGAUAAGCCUUUUGUGAUUUAUUAUGCAAGUAAGACUUUGGAUAGUGCUCAAAUGAAUUAUUCUACAACUGAAAAAGAAUUACUUGCUGUGGUAUUUUUGCUGUGGUAUUUGCAUUAAACAAAUUCCGUUCAUAUUUGCUUGGCUCUAAAUCUAUUGUGUUUGAUGACCACGCUGCUGUGAGAUAUUUGAUGAGUAAACAGAAUGCCAAACCGAGACUAAUCUGUUGGAUUUUGUUACUUCAAGAAUUUGACCUUACCAUCAAAGAUAAAAAGGGUGCUGAAAAUGUCGUUGCUGAUCAUCUAUCAAGACUCACAUCCGAAUUCUGCAAUGAUAUAACACCCAUCAAUGAUUCUUUCCCUGAUGAAUUUUUAUUUUCUAUUACUUCAAUGCCAUGGUAUGCUAACAUUGUUAAUUUUCUUGUUACAGGUAAAAUGCCUUUGCAAUGGAAUGCUCAAGAGAAGAAGAAAUUUUUUGUUGAAGUAAAGAAAUUUUAUUGGGAUGAUCCUUAUUUGUUCAAAUAUUGCUCAGAUCAAAUUUUUCGGCGAUGUAUUCUUGAUAAUGAGGUAAGUAGUGUCAUUAAUUUUUAUCAUUCUGAAGCAUGUGGUGGCCACUUUUCGUCAAGAAAAACUACUGCUAAACUUUUGCAGUGUGGAUUUUAUUGGCCUACCAUGUUCAAAGACACAUGAAUUUUGCAAAACUUGUGAAAAAUGUCAAAAAUUGGGAUCAAUUACAAAAUGAAACAUGAUGCCCUUAAAUCCCAUACUUGAAAUUGAAAUAUUUGACUGUUGGGGAAUUGAUUUCAUGGGUCCGUUUCCAUCAUCUUUUGGAUUUGUGUAUAUAUUAGUUGCAGUUGAUUAUGUCUCCAAAUGGAUUGAAGCAAUUUCUUGUCGAAAUAAUGAUAGUAAAACUGUGGUUAAAUUUUUAAGAGAAAACAUUUUAAGUCGAUUUGGAAUCCCUCGAGCCAUUAUCAGUGAUGGAGGUAAGCAUUUUUGUAAUAAGUCAUUUGACUCUUUAAUGAAGAAAUAUGGAAUUACACAUAAAGUUGUUACCCCUUAUCAUCCUCAAACAAAUGGUCAAGUUGAAUUAGCAAAUAGGGAGAUAAAACAAAUUUUGGAAAAAACUGUUAACCCAAACCGAAAAGAUUGGUUUCUUAGACUUAAUGAUGCACUUUGGGCCUACCGUACUGCAUUUAAAACGUCAUUAGGAAUGUCACCCUAUCGGUUAGUUUAUGGUAAACCUUGUCAUUUACCUAUUGAACUUGAACAUAAAUCACUUUAGGCUAUUAAAGCUUUUAAUUCAAAUUUGGAUGAUGCUGGUAAUGUGCGAAAAUUACAAUUGAAUGAACUUGAGGAAUUAAGGAAUGAUACAUAUGAAAAUUUAAGAAUUAUUAAGGCAAGAACAAAAGCAUUUCAUGAUAAAAGAAUUUUUCAAAAAACAUUUGAGAUUGGUCAAAAAGUGUUGCUUUAUAAUUCUCGUCUUCAUUUAUUUUCAGGAAAGUUAAAGUCAAAAUGGAGUGGCCCAUUUGUUGUAAAAAAUGUAUAUUCAUAUGGGGCCAUAAAAAUUGAGAAUCCAAAGAACGAUGUCACAUUUAAAGUUAAUGGUCAAAGAUUAAAACCAUAUCUAGAACAUCACCCACGUGACGAGGACACCGAAAUUAAUUUGGGUGACCCACCAGUUCUUGAUUAAGUCUUUAAUGACUGAUUUUUUUUUGUGUUUUACUAUUAUUUUGCCGUUUCAUUGUUUGAUUUUUUUUUCUCUAGAUUGAUGCACUAUACAUAAUUUUUUUAGCAUUAUUUUUCUUGUUUAAGCGUGUUUGUUUGACAAUUGUUCAUUCUCUCAUCAAUUUUCAUUAUUCAUCAUGAGUACUUCAAUAAGAAACUUCUUUUUCACACAUCUUAAAAGACUUAUACGAGGGAGAUUUAAUAUGAGAAGAUUGAUACAAAGCUAUAAAUCACAUCCACUUUGGGAUCUGCAACCACAGAAUUCGUGUCCUAUGUUGAGGAUCUAGAAGGACAACUUAGAGAAAUAGAGCGUGGUAUAUAUGAAUUUCAAUUAGAUCUUGAGGUUAACUCAAUGAGAGGACGAAUGUAAGUUCAUUUUCCUUUUUACAUUGUGUGUUUAUUUUUGUUGUUCGCCUUCACGUUUGAUUUGAUUUUGCAGCUUUGAUUUUGGUGUAUUUUGGUUUAUUUUCCCGUAUAAAUGGCGUAAGUCGGUAUUAUUGAAGCAAGGUCCGAUUAGCAGGUGAGUUUUCUGAUCCAUAUUAUUUUACUUCACUAUUAUUUUAUCAUUUGCAUUAUUGCAUUUAGUGGUGUGAUUUUGUAUUUAAUAAAUAUUUGUUUUCUUUUACUAUUUGCUUUUGAAUUAUUGAGCCACGAGCUUUACUCGUCAUUUGACAAAUAUGCCAACCCAUUUACAGCUGUUUCUCAUUAUUUCUGUCACCAAGAUCUUUAAAUAUGAGCUCGCUUUUCAAAAACUCACAACUUGUUUUUGAAAGAUUAGUCCAAUGGCAGCAUCUUCGAGUAAACAAUUCAAAAAUAUUUGUAUGUUUUCUGGGUUUCACUAUGGAAAGUACAAAGAGUUUGUUCAGGCAGCAGUAGAUCUUGGUCGUGUCAUAGCAGAGAGGAAACUGCAUCUUGUAUAUGGAGGAGGUGAAUGAGGGUUAUCCAGACUUGUCUCAGAAGCUGUUUUUACUAGAAAAAGCCAAGUACUAGGCAUUAUCCCAAAAGCCAUGAAACCGCUAGUGUGCAUGUCUGGCCCACCAAUUGGAGAAGAAUUAGUGGUAUCAAGUAUGCAAGAGAGAAUAUCUGAAAUGAUGAAUCAUGCUGAUGCUUUUAUUUUCUUGCAGUGGCCCAUUUGUUGUAAAAAAUGUAUAUUCAUAUGGGGCCAUAAAAAUUGAGAAUCCAAAGAACGAUGUCACAUUUAAAGUUAAUGGUCAAAGAUUAAAACCAUAUCUAGAACAUCACCCACGUGACGAGGACACCGAAAUUAAUUUGGGUGACCCACCAGUUCUUGAUUAAGUCUUUAAUGACUGAUUUUUUUUUGUGUUUUACUAUUAUUUUGCCGUUUCAUUGUUUGAUUUUUUUUUCUCUAGAUUGAUGCACUAUACAUAAUUUUUUUAGCAUUAUUUUUCUUGUUUAAGCGUGUUUGUUUGACAAUUGUUCAUUCUCUCAUCAAUUUUCAUUAUUCAUCAUGAGUACUUCAAUAAGAAACUUCUUUUUCACACAUCUUAAAAGACUUAUACGAGGGAGAUUUAAUAUGAGAAGAUUGAUACAAAGCUAUAAAUCACAUCCACUUUGGGAUCUGCAACCACAGAAUUCGUGUCCUAUGUUGAGGAUCUAGAAGGACAACUUAGAGAAAUAGAGCGUGGUAUAUAUGAAUUUCAAUUAGAUCUUGAGGUUAACUCAAUGAGAGGACGAAUGUAAGUUCAUUUUCCUUUUUACAUUGUGUGUUUAUUUUUGUUGUUCGCCUUCACGUUUGAUUUGAUUUUGCAGCUUUGAUUUUGGUGUAUUUUGGUUUAUUUUCCCGUAUAAAUGGCGUAAGUCGGUAUUAUUGAAGCAAGGUCCGAUUAGCAGGUGAGUUUUCUGAUCCAUUUGUUUCUUACAUGCCUAGUUUUGGUAAAAGUACGUUUGCUAAGAAAAGAAGAGCUAAAUGACUUGGCUCAAAAUGUCAUUACUGUGUAAGACUUGGUUGCAAACGAGAAGUUUGUAAAUCUUUAGGAAUGGUGUCUGAUACUCGUGAAGAUAAAAUUAAAUUCGUUAAAGAUGGCCUGAGUAAAGAAUCAUUGGAUGAUAUCUUACGAUCUCUUGAGACGUAUCGUAGCGGACAUGUGCAAUAUGAGAUAUACAAGUUAUGGAGACUAUUCUAAACACAAAGUUCACAGUUUAGUCUUGGGAAUCUGACUCAAAAAGACCAUAUUUGCCAGUUUAUAAGAAAACUGGAUGGGAAGCCUAUCCUUGACCCAUAGAGGGCGUUCAAGCCGUUACUGGACGUAAAACCAGAGGAAUAUGUGAGCCACAAUCACAACUACCAGUAAAUAUCCUUUUACUUCACUAUUAUUUUACUUCACUAUUAUUUUAUCAUUUGCAUUAUUGCAUUUAGUGGUGUGAUUUUGUAUUUAAUAAAUAUUUGUUUUCUUUUACUAUUUGCUUUUGAAUUAUUGAGCCACGAGCUUUACUCGUCAUUUGACAAAUAUGCCAACCCAUUUACAGCUGUUUCUCAUUAUUUCUGUCACCAAGAUCUUUAAAUAUGAGCUCGCUUUUCAAAAACUCACAACUUGUUUUUGAAAGAUUAGUCCAAUGGCAGCAUCUUCGAGUAAACAAUUCAAAAAUAUUUGUAUGUUUUCUGGGUUUCACUAUGGAAAGUACAAAGAGUUUGUUCAGGCAGCAGUAGAUCUUGGUCGUGUCAUAGCAGAGAGGAAACUGCAUCUUGUAUAUGGAGGAGGUGAAUGAGGGUUAUCCAGACUUGUCUCAGAAGCUGUUUUUACUAGAAAAAGCCAAGUACUAGGCAUUAUCCCAAAAGCCAUGAAACCGCUAGUGUGCAUGUCUGGCCCACCAAUUGGAGAAGAAUUAGUGGUAUCAAGUAUGCAAGAGAGAAUAUCUGAAAUGAUGAAUCAUGCUGAUGCUUUUAUUUUCUUGCUAGGAGAUCUUGCAACUUUUGAGGCACUGAUUACGUUUGCAUCUUGGGCCCACUUGAACAUUUAUAAAAAACCCAUCGGUUUGUUAAAUGUUAAUAAUUUUUAUGAUGGCUUUCUAACUUUUAUUAACAAUGCAAUAAAGAAUCAUUUUGUUCCAUAUUCUGUAAAAAAACUCUUUAUCUCUGCUUCUACUACUAAUGAGUUACUUGAUCUUUUACAAGCUUAUACACCAGAGCCAGAUCCAAAGACUUUUGCACUGAAUUGGUCGACUGAUGAUGGUAGCGGUAACAGUAGCAGUAAUAAAAAGUACGAAUUAGAUUUAACUCUCCGUCUGUAAAUAUUUUAUGUUGCAGUGUUUAUGUACCGUCUUCUAAACUCUUUCUCUUUCCUUUUAAAACAUUGAGGACAAUGUCUUUUUCAGGUUGGGGGGAGGGAAUAGUUGAUAAUUGUGGAAUGUCUUAGUCCUAGUGAUGCUUUUACAAAUUUUUUUCCUGUAAAGACUAACUUUGGACUAAAUUUGAGUAGAAGAUGGCAGGAUAUGGAGAGUGCAGUACCUUUAGAAACGCAUCUUCUUAAAUUAGGGUUGACUAACUUAGGACAAAUUUGAGUCGAAGAUGGCAGGAUAUAGAGAAUGUAGUACCUCUAGAAACGCAUCUUCUUAAUCUUAAGAGUGUUGUUUAAAAAAAAAUUGACUUUUUCUUGUUCUUUGUUAUAUGCUUUUAAGCUUCUACAUCAAGUUCAGGUGAGAUCUCCUCCUCUUCUUCUUUUAUUAUUCUCCUUUAUUAUUAUUAUUAUUAUUUUUUGCAUAUUUGUAAAAUUAUAAAAUGUUAAGAUAAUGUUUAGAUUAGGUUGGGGGGUGGGGAGAGUUGACGUAUGUUUUUAAAUACGUGUGUUGUUUUUCUUUUUUUCUUUUCUUUUCUUUGUUUAAAAAAAACCCAAAAAAAAAAAUUAUUUUUGUCUAGGAUGGCUGUGCAAAGAGUCACGACUUUUGAGACGCAUCCUAAUAGUCUUGUUGUAUUAUAUUUUGAUUUUGAAAUUCAUAGUAAAUUGUUUUUAUUCCCUUUUCUUUGAAUUACUCGAAUUUGUGAACUCUCCACUUGGUUAUUAAAUUAUUUAAUUGUUUACUCAUUUAACAGGUAUUAUUGAAUCAUUCUUCACACACACACUAUGACACAUACUAGUGGGUUGGAAGUUAAAAUUUUACAGCAUUUAGUUCUUUUGAUUUAUUAGGAAUAGUAUCUAAGGUAGUAGAAAGUGUAUAUUGCAAAAAAACAAAAACAAAAAAAAAAACAAAAGAAGAAGAAAAAAAAAAGAAAAAAAUGUUUUAUUUUUUUUAUUUUGCUAUAUCUAGAACCCGAGUAAUUAAGUCAGUAAGGGUGUUUCAACACCUAGUGCCCUAAGGUCAACUGGUCUGGGAGUCACUGGCCUAAAGCUUGCUACAUGGGUAAUAGAUAUAUUGUUUGUUUAUUAGAAACCUGAGUAAUUAAGUCCGUAGGGGUGCUUCAACACCUAGUGCCUUAAGGCCAACUGGUCUGGGAGUCACUGACCUAAAACUCGCUACACGGGUUAGAAAUGUAAUAUUUUAAAAAUAUGUGUGAAUAAUCUACUGCCUAAAGAUAGAAUUUCUAAUCAAAAACAAAAAAAAAAACAAAAGAAGAAGAAAAAAAAAAGAAAAAAAUGUUUUAUUUUUUUUAUUUUGCUAUAUCUAGAACCCGAGUAAUUAAGUCAGUAAGGGUGUUUCAACACCUAGUGCCCUAAGGUCAACUGGUCUGGGAGUCACUGGCCUAAAGCUUGCUACAUGGGUAAUAGAUAUAUUGUUUGUUUAUUAGAAACCUGAGUAAUUAAGUCCGUAGGGGUGCUUCAACACCUAGUGCCUUAAGGCCAACUGGUCUGGGAGUCACUGACCUAAAACUCGCUACACGGGUUAGAAAUGUAAUAUUUUAAAAAUAUGUGUGAAUAAUCUACUGCCUAAAGAUAGAAUUUCUAAUGAAUUUUGGAACGAAAAUGUUGUUUUUCUUUUAAUGAAGCCCCAUAAGUAUUGUGUUAAUUACUUGAGCACAAAAGAAGGUUUGAUGAUAUUCUGGAUAAUGAGUGAAUAUCAAUGUUGUAAAGAAAUUUGGGAGAGUUCAUUUAUUUAGUAGUUUAGAGGAUAGAUGAACAACUAUUAACUUGCAUGUGAAUUUUAUAAAUCUUAAUUUAAUAUAACGCUUUAAUUGCUAGAGGGCUAGCAAUAAGCUGGUUGGGGGGUGUGAUUAGUAUUAAAAAUUGUUUAAUUAUCAAGCGAUAAUAAUAUAUUAGAAAUUAUUAAUUAUGUUUUAAAUAAAUUUAAUUUUGUGUAUUUUUAUGUGUUUAUUAGGAAAUAUAUUAAUUUCACGGAAUUCGAGGCUCCAAACAGAUAAACGGAGGUCAAAUUUGGAUUUCGGAGGUCUGGAAACCUUAAGAUCAGUCAAGAUCGGCUUAAAAUUGGGCUUGUGUAAAAAAAGUUGACUUUUUCUGUUGACCGAGCACUGAUUGGAUGAUGAAAUGAGCUUACAAUAGAUAUGAGUGCAUGGGAUAUCUGGUAAUUUUGACUAAAUCUCAACCAUUCAUGAUUCAAUGGCCAUGAUUGUGCCACGUGGCAAUGGUUAGUGAAGCAAGUUGUAGGAUCCGAAUCUUUGUAUACGGGUCGACCCGAUCCACUCAUUAACCCGCCAAAUCUCAACCGUUCUUUGGAUAAAUCAAACAAGUCAAAUGAUGCCACAAAUUCUGUCAAUCUCCCUGUAAUCUUGAUUUUCAGGUGUGUUUAUAAUAUUUUCUAUAAUUAUUUUUAUAAAUAAAAUUAGUUUUAUUUCCAAUUUAAAAUUUGGAUUUAUUGUAGACAAACAAAUGAAUUUGGCACAAUAAAUUCUUAAUAUCUUAAUAUACUGCUGUACCGUACAUCCGCCUUGGCCGUACAGAUAUAAGGCAUGGUGAAAUGGUAUUUUGACUUAUUGUAGACAAAUUAAAUUUUGACACAAUAAAUACUUAAUCCAUCAUAAAAUUAAAGGGAAAAUAAUAAUAAUUUACAAUUAAUCUUUUGGGAAAUAAAUCUAAAAAAAAAGGUAAAAAGAAUUUAUUAAGUUUUAUUUACUUCUAAGAGUGGAUCCAUAACCCUAACUAGCUCAAUUUCAUAGUUUCAUUUAAAUUAAGUUGUUUAUAUUUAAGUUUUAAUUUCAAUUUNNNNCAUAGUUUCACAUAAAUUAAGUUGUUUAUAUUUAAGUUUUAAUUUCAAUUUCAUUUUUUAGAUAAAAUAAAAUAAAUAAAUUAAAUCUUUUCUCUAAGGAUCGACCUCGGACUCAUUGAGCUAUAAUAUAAUAAGAUACUCUUAUAUUUGGGAGUUAAAAAUUACUUUUAAUUUAUGGGCCUAACUUCUCAAACUCUCAAUUGCUUGAACAUUGAUAAAGGUAUAAAAUUAAUGCUAGCCCCCAUAUCACAAAGUGCCUUACCAUUGUACUUAGUUCCUAUGGAAUUUGGGAUUGUGAAACUCCUUGGAUCUUUCAACUUCUGAGGAAUUUUGUUUUGAAGCAUAUGGCUACAUUCUUGUGUUAGAGCAACAGUUUCUAACUCUCCAAGCCUUUUUUUCUUUACCAAAAUACCUUUUAAGAACUUCACAUAAUUUGGCAUUUGUUCUAGGGCUUCCACAAGAGGAAUAUUAAUAUGUAGUUACUUUACACUUCCAAGAAUUUGCUGAAUUGCUUAUCUUACUCUUGCUUUUAGAAUCUUUAAGGGAAAGAUGAUGGGUAUCUGAACUAUUGUGCUAUUGUAGGCUGUACAGACUACUUCUUUUUUGCCAUGUUAUGGGCUGAUGUGGAUGGUGUUGUGGGAUCUUUACCAUCAUGUGGUGGAUCAUCAUUUUCUGUAGAUAUUGUAACUUGGCUAUUCACACCAGUGGGUCGGAAAGUAGGUUGUUGUGGCUCUUUUUCAAAUUGAGUUUCUUCUUGGGCUAAAAUGGGUUCAACGCUUCUUUUUGUGCACCAACUGAAAUAUAAACAUUAUUUCUAGGCCUUAAAUUAAUCACCUUGUAUUGUUCCUUUCCUUCUCAUCUUGGAUCCUCUGUAUUGUUGGGUAAACUACCCUGAGGUCUGUUACUCAAUGUUGUAACAAGCUAUCCAAUCUGAUUUUCAAAGUUUCUUAAGGAUACAACUUAACUCUGAACUACUGCUUCACUUUUCACAAUGUACUCUUUGAUCAAAGCUUCAAGAGAACUGAGUUGAUUAUUGUUGGUGCUUCUUUGCCUUUAAUUUUGUUGGUGAAAUCCAGGUGGUUGAGCAUGCCUAUUUUGUCCACUGGAUGCUGCAACAUUAUGGUUUUAAUUGCUCCAUGAGAAGUUUGGGUGCUGUCUCCAUCCAAGAUUAUUUUGAUUCUAUCUAUUGAAGUUACCCACAUAGUUAACUGAUGCUGGAUUUCCAAGACAAUUGUCAAAUAAAUGCCCUUUUCCACAAUAAACACAAGAGACCUCAUGUAACUUGGUUAACAGUUGCUGGAGCAGUAGUCACAACUUUCACCAUAUUUGUUAAUGAGGUUACUUGGGCUGAUAAUGUUGUCAAGGCGUCUACAUUAUGGAUUCCUUCUGCUCCUCUUGCUGCAGCUUCUUGGUAGAUGGCCACUUAUAAUUAUUUUUGCUAUCCUUUCCAAAAUUUCAUAAGCCUCAUUAUAAGACAUAUAUAACAAGGCUCCAAUUGCUGAAGCGUCCACCAUUAAUCUAGUGCUUGGAUUAAGAUCAUUGUAAAAGGUUUUCAAUUGUAUACAUCAAGGAAUGCCAUAAUGAGGACAUCUCCUGAGUAACUCUUUGAACUUUUCCCAUGCAUCAUACAAGCUCUCAUCUUCAAGUUGAUGGAAGGAUGUGAUCUCAUUUCUUAAUUUUGUACUCUUGGUUGGUGGAAAGUAUUUCAUCAAACAUUUGUUAGCCAAGUCAUUCCAUAUGGUGAUGGAAUCAGGUUGUAGGGAGUUCAACCAUGCUCUUGCUCGAUCCCUUAAAGAAAACGAGAAAAUUCUGCGGCUUAAUGCUUUAUGUGAUGCUCUAGUAAUCUUAAAAGCAUCACUUACUUCAAAAAACAACUUAAAGCAUAGGUGAGGAUCUUCUAAUGGCAGUCCAUUGAAUUGCCCCCCCACUAUCUAUAGCAUCUGAAACAUCACUAGUUUGAGCUCAAAAUUAUCAGCUUGCACUUCAGGUCUAACUAUUCCAGAAUUUAUGGCUUGAGGGGUCAGCACUGCAUAAUCUCUAGUGGCUUUAUCUCUAUCAUCUGCCAUAUGAAUAAUAUUAUUAUUCUCUGGUUGCCCAUAAAUAAUCUACCCAUUCUAACAUUCUUGACCUCCUUGUGCAUUUACUGGUUCAAUUACUCUACGAGGGUUCAAAUUCCUCAUAUCUUGCAAAUCAUCCAUUGCUACAACAAUUUUUGAAUUUCUUUACUCUUUUCUCAAUCUCCUUGUAGUUCUUUCAAUUUUUGGAUCAAACUAAAAUUCAACAGUUCUAUAUUGUGUAUGCAAGGGUUCCUAGAUUACUCUUGUUAACAAAAUAAACAAAUUAAAAUUAAAUUAAAAAUUAGCACCGAUUAAGAUUAAUUUCAUAAAUCACAACGAACAAUCAAUACCCGACAAUGGUGCCAAAAAUUUGUAGGGUGAUUUUUAUUGCUAUGGGUGUCAAUGUGCAAGUGUAGACAACAAGUAAUAUACUGAUGACUAUUUAGAUCGUCUCUACAGGAAUUGAUGUUAUCAAAUUUGCUACAACAAUCCUAACAGUAUAAUUUCUAUUUAAAUUAAAGCAAAAUAAUUAAUGAGACGAAUAAACUAACUAAAUUAAAAUGAAUGUAACAAAUAGUUUUCAAUGAGAAAAAAAUCUCAAGCCAACCACCAGGACAAACUCAAUGGGAAUAGAGUAGUUAAGUAAUUAAACUCACUUAAUGGUGUUGACUGUUUCUCUAAUUUAGACCCUGUUGCUACAGUACCUACUACAGCACUGGGCAGAAUCCCUUAUGCAUCCUCAGCUAUCGCCUGUUAGAUAUCUUAUAUCUAAAUGCAACUUAACAGUGACCAUUUGUUAUGCUAACAUCAUACAUAACAUUAUGCAUUGUAGGUUCCACUUACUCUACAAAGUGAAUCCUUAUGUCUAGUUCUUCUUAGAUCAAGCAUGGCCCUAUUCAAGUUAAGUAAAUCUCAACUUGAGAAAUCCAAUCUAAAAUCAAGUAUUGUCUUAAAUUGACCCACUAAGUUAGACAUUUUUUUAGGUUUUUUCUUAGCUAGUAUCCAUUAAAUGGGUGGUCAGCCCAAAUAGAGAAUUGCAAUAAAUAAAAUUAAGACAAAAUGCUAUAGCAAAUACAAAGCAACACACAUAUGUCAAUCAAACAUCCAUUAAGAUCGUUUCUCACUCAACCACAAUCAAAUUCAGUUCAUGAUUUGUGAUAGAAUAGUAAAUAAAUUGUUUUAACCAUUAAAUACAUCCUCAUCAAUAAAUAAAAACAAGAAAAUAAAAAAGAAGAACUGAGUUAUGCUUGGUUUUUGUAAUUUCUACUUUGUUUUCUCCUUGAGUCCUCUGUUAUAGCCCUCAAAUCUAUCUCUAAAUUUUUGUUUUCUUAUUGUUUUUCUUUGUAUUCUCCUUAACUAUAUUAUAAAAGAAUAGAAAAUAAAUUUGACUUGAAUUCACUCAGUUUUUUAUUUGAAUUAAAUUUAACUUGAAAGAAAGAUGAAUCAAGAGAUUUUUUGGUACGAUAUUGGAAUUUCAAGUACCUUUUCCCUCUCUUUUUAGCCUAGUCUAGACUCUAGAUGAAUCAAUAUCUUUUUGUUAUAAAGCAAUAAGAUUAUAAGAACUAGAAAUGUCAUUGUUGCAUAUCUUACAAAUAUGAAUGAUUUAGCAUUUAAAAAGCCCAAAAUUUUGUUUAAUAAAUCAUCAUUUUUUAUAAUUCAAAGGCUUUAUAAUUAUAUGUUAAGUUAUAGGUGCCAUAUUCCAAAAGGCACCAAAUCAUAUCAUGUGCCCAUCCUAUCAGAUAAAAGAAGGUAUUAAGGAAAAAUAACACUCAAGUUAUUUCGGGGUAAAUAACACCCAAGUUAUUCCGGGGGAAUAACACCUAAGGAAAAAUUCGUUCAAAGCUUAUAAAAAUGGCAAGAGGGGGGAAUUAGUUCCGCAAUCCUUUAGUCUAAGGAAAUCGCACCCAAAGGUCAUACAAUUAAGGAAAUACACAAGGUUGAAAUAUUUCCCUAGAUCAUAUUCACCUCCACGUGUACAAAAAUGAUGGGUGGCAUAUCAAAGCAAAACCCUAAAUCCACAUCAUUCAUCAUCUAUAAAUAGAGACCCAUCUCUAAGAGAAAGGAGGUUUUUGGCCUCCAAGAUCAUUGUUCAUCCUUAGAGAGAAAAAACUCAUUUUCUCCAUCUUUCUUCUUUAUUUAAUCUUGAUCAAACACUAACUUAGGCGUCGAAGUACCCUUUUCAAGUACUCACCCUUCCGGAAUCGAGGCCAACGAUUGUGACAAGUUCUCUACAAGCUACAAAUACGUGUAAAGGUAAAAAAUUCCAACACCUUCAUUGGAGCCGUCUAUGGGGAAACUAGGUUGAAAAUUUUUCUCUCACUAAAACCCACAUGAACACUACUUUACCAUCAUCUUUUUAGAUUAGAUCUGGUUGGGUGUAGUUGAAAAAGAGAUGAAUACUCAUAUAUGCUUAUGAAAAAUGGGUUUAUGUGUGACACUCAAACGUCAAACGUGCUUAAAAAGGCAUUAAAGCCAAAAAUCCAAGAGCAAAAAUGGAGAUCUCUCCUCCAAAUGCCUUACUGGAAAAAAAAAUAGAGAAAAUAAAGAAGAUGAAGGAGUCAUUUGGUCAACAUAAAACUUUGACCAAAAAUAAAAUGUCAACAAUAGUCAAAUGGGCUUAAAAUAGUCUCCAUGGCUAAACCUAAGACUAAUUUAUCAUUCAUUUUAUUUUCUCUUCAUUUUCCUUUUAUUAUGCUCAUUCCUAGCAACUAUGCUAACUUAUUUACGUUCCUGCCAUUCUAUUUAUUCUAUGAUACUUCUUUCUUUUUCCACGAGUGAGGCUAAGAAAAACCUAAGCAUCUACCUUACCAAGGGGAAUAUAUGAAGGGUAUUAAACGGACGUGGAUCAACAUAACUCUAUGUUUUAAUCUAACAAUUAUAAUAUUUUUUACUUUACUUGACUUACAAACGUGUGAGGCUAAGGAAAACCCAAAUAUUGACCUCCCGAUGGGAAAUAGAUAAAUGGGUAUUAUACCGACAUGGAUUAACUUAAUUUUCCUGACAUAAUAUGCAACUAAUAAUUAUCUUUACGCAUCUAACCUUUACAAUUACGUAUUUACUCUUCAGUUAUUUGCAAAUUUCAUAAUGUUAGAUGCUGAUUCUGGAAGGAAGUAGAAACUAUGGAAAACCAAAAAUUAAAUGCAAAAUUACCUGCAUUGGAGCAACAGUUAAAAGAGUAGCCUCGGAAAAGCUAAAAACAAGCAGAGAGACAAAUUGGUCACCAAAAGAGAGGGUCGGAACCCACAUAGAAUAAGCCCAAAAACAAAUAUAAUGAGCUGAUAGUGAUGAGGAACGAAGGUUCCAAAGAUGCCUAUGGAAGGGAACUCAAAAGAUCCUAAAGGAGCUCUAAAAAAAAUUUUCAGAUGUCAUCCACACCAGAUGAUGCAUGCUCUUAAGCAACAGCCAAAAGAGUAGCCCGGAAAAGCUAAAAAGAAACAAAGUGGUAAAUUGCUCACCAAAAGAGAUGGUCCAAAUUCACACAAAAUAAACAUAAAAAGGCACAUAAGGAACUGAUAGUGAUGAGGAACAAAGGUUCCAAAAAUGCCUACAGCAAAAAAUUCAAAAGAUCCUAAGAAGAAUCUAGAAAAAAUUUCCAGGUGGCUUCUACAGCAAAUGAUGCCAUUGUAGCAGCCCUAUUAGGAAAAAGUUAAAGUUCAUUUGAAUGACAUUCUAGACUAAUCUAAAUGAUUAUUUAGAUUGAUAUCUUGUAAAAGAGGAACAUUCUGUUUUAGCUCUUACAACUCUUGAAAAUAUUGAUCGAAUUGACAUUGUGCAACUCAUUUACUCGGGCAAUUGAUCACAAAAUGUAAAAACUAUUCCAUAGUCUCAAAAAACUCAUGCACUGCACUAAUGAGCAUUCGCAUGCAUAAACAUUCAUAUCUAUGCAUCUCACAGGAAUCCACAUUCAUCGUUGACUUAUGAGCGCUCAUGAUCAUCUCAUACAUUAUCAUAUAUGCUUCCAAAAAUCUCAAAAUUCAUUUUACAACCGACCAAAUUGCCUAUGGAAAUUUCUCAUUUCUUGGUACAACUUUAGUAUAUGAAAAAGUUCAAGGAACAAGGAAUUUUCCCUUUUAUGUCAAGAGAAAAGUAACAAAAAAUAUUCCCUCCUACGUCGAGGGAAAAUUAGAUUUCUAGAUCAAAAAACAAGAAAUAUUUCCUCCUACGUCAAGGGAAAAGGUGAAAGAACAAAAAAAAUUGGAAAAGCUGAAAGAAAAAAAAAAUUCCCUCAUACACCAAGGGAAAAGUAGAUUUCCUCCUAGAAUUUCAGUUCAAGGGAAAAGUUUUAGAAACAAUUAAUAUUCCUCUAUUAUAUUACAGGGAAAGUAGAUUUCCUCAUAGAACCUUAAUUCAAGGGAAAUAUCUAAGAACAAUUAAUAUUCCCUCUUAUGUUAAGGAAGAACAAUUAGUAUAUUUCCACAAAAAAAUUCCAGUUUAGGAGAAAAUUUCCCUAAUAAAAUUAUUCGAAACAACUUAUUUUUCCCAAGGCUAAUGUAAAGGAAAAACAUCCCUGAGCCAAUAAGAAGAAAAAUUUCCUUAAUGAAAGUCGUCCGCAAUAAAUCAUAUUUCCUAGGCUAACAAAGUGGAAAAAUAUUCCCAAGGCCAACACGCCCUCUUCAUUUCACCCAAACAAAAAUUGAUCGUGCAUAUCAGCCCAUAUAAAUCAACUAAGGUUCAGUUACCAACCAAAUGUUCCAUCCAACCAUAACAACAUAAUACCACACCUGACAAUUAUACAAGACACUAGAUUAAACAAAACUGAAGUACUACAUCCAGCCCUUGCUUGCCAAACGGAAAGCUUCUGAAGGGAUAGAACUGUUCAACUAGUUGAACAAAGUACUACAUAUGGGCGAUACAAACUUCUAAAGGUUUCGUUGCAAAAACUUUAUCAUUCUAUCAAAGAUAGAGGGUUGUUGUACCCCUACUACCUUUCAUCGGAAAAGAUCACAAGUGAGAUAGUAGCAGAUUCUAUUAAUUCCAUGCUGCCCAUGGGCAUACCACAUCAUUAUGUUGUGGUGUGAAAAAUCAAUUAGAAGAUUUAAUAAGAAAUCGUUACCUAAAUGAAUAUAUUGAUAAGAUUUAAUAAGAAACCGUUACCUAAAUGAAUAUGUUGAUGACUCUUUUCUCUUGGUAGAUCAAUCGUACAUACCAAAGGAGGCAGGUAUAGUAAACCUAAUAAGAGAAGAACCAACAACUAGAGUUAUCGCAAGAGGCCCCACACUAGCAGGAGGUUUCAAUAGGCCUGCAAAAAUUAUGGGAAAUAUACUAUGCCCAACCACAAUGUCCUUUUUAAUAAGCCUUUACCAGAGCUCACAAAAACUAGCCAAGUAACAUUUAUGUGGACCGAAGAUGACAAAGAAGAAGUGUUGUACCCUAAUGCAUAUGCACUAGUUAUUAAGGCAAAUGUAGCAAGCAAGGAGCAUAAUAAAAUUCUAGUAGAGUUAGGCAGUUUAGUUGACAUUUUUUUAAGCCAGUUUAGAUCAGAUGGGAACAACGGAUUUGAAGUUAAAGCCCAUCAAUACCUCAUUAAAAGGGUUUGGAGGAGGAAAUUGAUGUUAAUAGGAGUUAUGGACCUACCGAUCACUGUUAGGAUGAAACCUUUUGGAAAUAAAAUGAUGUUGACUUUAUAUAUAUAUAGGAAAAUAGUUCUUACUAGACCUACUAGAUAAUACUUAAGAGAACUUUUUUGAGAAUUAAUAAGUCUGUAAUGUCCACCUACUAUUUGAUACUUAAAUAUUGAAUAAAAUGGUAUGAUAAGGUAAGGUGACUAGAGGGUGGUGAAGAGCUGUUACGAAUCAGCGGCCAAUGAGACAAUAUAGAUCACAUCCUUUGACACGCGAGGAGAGUCUAAGAAAGGCAAACAAAAACCAAUGGAGACCCUAAUAAUGAUGAAAUCAAAUAAGCUUGAAAACCAUUAAGAUAGGAUCCAAGUUGGAGAGUGAAUUGAAAACUAGAUUACAAGAAUUUAUGUGGCAACGCUCUGAUGUGUUCGCCAAGAUGAUAAAAGAUCUUUCAAUCAAAAGAGAUACGAUGUUAUUAGUGUGGAGGUAGACAAGCUCUUGCAUGUUGGCUUUAUUAGAGAAGUAAGUAACCUUGAUUGGAUAUUUAAUACGGUGCUGGUGAAAAAGGCCAACGAUAAAUGGAGAAUAUGUGUAGAUUUCACAGACUUUAAUAAGGCAUGCCCAAAGAACAAUUUCCCAUUACCAAAAAUUGAUCAGUUGUUCAUCUCCACAUCAGAACACGACCUCCUCAGUUUUAUAGAUGGAUUUUCAAGAUACAAUUAGAUUCUCAUUUUCAAGUUGGAUAAGGAGCAUAAUGACUUUAUUAUUAAUCAAGGACUUUACAGUUACAAAGUAAUGCCCUUUGGCUUGAAAAACAAUAGAGCAAUAGACGAGAGGCUACUUAACAACAUCUUUAAGCCCUUGAUAGGUAGCUCAAUGGAAGUAUAUAUGGACAACAUGAUUAUCAAGUCUAAGGAUCUUACCGAUCACAUGUAGCAUCUAGAGGAGAACUUUAGCCUAUUAAGGAAAUACCAGAUGAAGUUAAAUCUAAAACAGUGUGUGUUUGGAGCAAGCAUCAGGAAAUUCUUAGGGUUCACCAGAAGCCACAAAAGAAUAGAAGCUAAUCCUGAGAAAAUUCGUGUUAUUUUAGAAAUAAGAUCGCCUCUCACAUUAAAAGAGAUACAGGUCUGAUAGGGAAUCUGGCAUCCCUAAAUAGAUUCAUCCUAAAGGCGGCAGACAAAUGUCAUAUUUUCUUCAAGAUCAUGAGAAAAUGAAACAAGACUGAAUAGACACUAGAGUGCAAGGAGGCUUUAGAGUAGUUAAAGGAUUACUUGAGUAGAGCACCAUUAUUGUCAAGUCCGCGAGCAAGGGACAGAUUGUAUAUUUACCUAGUAGUCUCCAGAUGGGCUUCCCGUUCAAUGCUAAUAAGGGAGGAAGCAGAAGCACAACACCCAGUUUAUUAUACUAGUGAAGCCUUCCUUGAUGUAAAGACUCGGUACCAACCAGUAGAGAAAUACGCCUUGGCAUUGAUGGCCCUUGUUCGAAAGCUAAGACCUUACUUUCAAGCAUACCCAAUUGAGGUUCUGACAAACUUGUCAUUGCGUCAAACCCUACACAAGCUCGAAGCCUCAAAGCGUUUAGUAAAGCGGUCAGUGGAAUUGAACGAGUAUGAUAUCAGCUAUAGACUGUGAGCAACAAUAAAGGUAUAAACACUAGUAGAUUUUGUAGUAAAGUGGUCAGAGCAACAUCAAAAAGCCCUUAUAGUUAAAGGCAAUGAGGAGCCAAAGAAGCUACCAGAAGAUACGAGCAGGAAUUGGUUGGUAUUAGCAAAUUAGUACUCUCGAGUUUGUGGAGCUGGAGCAAGGAUAGUCUUAUACAACCCUAAAGGCAAGAAAGUUUUUUAUGCUAUAAAACUCGAAUUAAAGGCGACCAACAAUAAAGCAAAAUAUGUAGCCUUCAUCAAUAGGUUGAAAUUAAAGCAUGCUUCACAAGACGAUAAAGUAAAAGUUAAAACAUAUUUCCAUCUAAUAGUGAAUCAUUUGAAUGGAAACUUUCUGGCAAAAGGGAGGGGAAAUAAAGGCAAACCUGAACAAAGCCAAGCAAAUGGCAACCAAAUUUCAACAACUCAUAAUAGAGCAUAUCUCGAGGGAAGAGCAUUACAAAGUAGACGUCCUUGUUAGGCUGCUAUCUCGGCACACUCUAAGAUCCCAAAAUACGUCCCGGUAGAGGCCAGGACUACACCAAGUGUCGAAGUCGAACUCGAGAUAAUGCAUGUUGAUAAAGGGGAAAGUUGGAUGGACCCAAUCAUUUCGUAUAUUCGAGAUGGGAAAUUGCUAGAAGACAAUAUCCAGCUACAGUACAAGGGGUGUAUCGUACCUUUCUUUUAUCUUUUUGUGCUACCAUCAUUAGAGCUGACACAAAAG
rnacentral:lncRNA from 1 species